rnacentral:rRNA from 1 species
AUUGAACGCUAGCGGGAUGCUUUACACAUGCCAGUCGAACGGCAGCGCGGACUUCGGUCUGGCGGCGAGUGGCGAACGGGUGAGUAAUGUAUCGGAACGUGCCCAGUAGCGGGAGAUAACUACGCGAAAGCGUAGCUAAUACCGCAUACGCCCUACGGGGGAAAGCAGGGGAUCGUAAGACCUUGCACUAUUGGAGCGGCCGAUAUCGGAUUAGCUAGCUGGUGGGGUAACGGCUCACCAAGGCGACGAUCCGUAGCUGGUUUGAGAGGACGACCAGCCACACUGGGACUGAGACACGGCCCAGGCGCCUACGGGAGGCAGCAGUGGGGAAUUGUGGACAAUGGGGGCAACCCUGAUCCAGCCAUCCCGCGUGUGCGAUGAAGGCCUUCGGGUUGUAAAGCACUUUUGGCAGGAAAGAAACGUCGCGGGCUAAUACCCCGUGGAACUGACGGUACCUGCAGAAUAAGCACCGGCUAACUACGUG